rnacentral:rRNA from 1 species
CAGCAGCCGCGGGAAUACGUAGGUGGCAAGCGUUGUCCGGAAUUAUUGGGCGUAAAGGGCUCGCAGGCGGUUUCUUAAGUCUGAUGUGAAAGCCCCCGGCUCAACCGGGGAGGGUCAUUGGAAACUGGGAAACUUGAGUGCAGAAGAGGAGAGUGGAAUUCCACGUGUAGCGGUGAAUGCGUAGAGAUGUGGAGGAACACCAGUGGCGAAGGUGACUCUCUGGUCUGUAACUGACGCUGAGGAGCGAAAGCGUGGGGAGCGAACAGGAUUAGAGACCCCAGUAGUCCCUGUCUCUUAUACA